CCUCCCACAUGAUGAAAUGAUCCUUUUAAAGCGGGCUCAAUAUGUCUCAAUCUGCACUCCUCUUCCCUCUCUAAAGCUUCUGGGUUCGGGACAGAGCCCAGAAAUAUAUUAAUUAAAACGCACUACCACAGACUUGUUAGCACUGGAGAAGAAGUGGCUGGAUCAAGUCAAGCUCAGUCAACGGAUGGAUGAAGAUUCACGGCAGGAAAAGAGAAAAAAGAAACGAUCAAUGCCGCAGCGCUCUCUCAUUCACCCUGAACUGGUGGUGAACUCCCCCGGAACGCCGCCAGCCUCUCCAUCCUAUCCCAUCGCAGUCCGGGGUCACCAGGGGGGCGUCUCUGUGCCAAUAUGCAGAUGAGCCUGUGCCCCUCCAAUGACUCUGGAGUUAAGCUCCACCCCUCUAUAUGAUGGAGCCCCCACCCAACAACACUCACACACAUUGAGGCAUAAACCCACUCUCACACUGGCUUAAAUAGGCCUUUAACAGCUUACGUCCGCUCUUCCUUUAAUAGCCAAAGUGUGUCGAACCUAAUGGAUGUUGUCAAAGCUGAGAUGUGACGGCUGAUUUAGAGGAGGAACCCCAAUGACCAGGCUUCACCAGCCACUAAAGACACAAAGGGAGAGAAAGAGAGGGUGGGGAAAGGGAGAGAGAAUUACCUCAGCUAUGCCACAAAUCAUAGUAAUAUCUUUAAAAGAUGUGGGGAUCGAUGAGGUGUCAUCUGGCUGUAUCGUGUGUGUGAGUGAACCCAUAAACAGCCAAUGACCUUUGUCCUCCAUUUUAGAUGCUUACGCAAAAAGUUUUCCAACCCAUAAGCAGUUUUUACUUCUUUCUUCUUUUUUUUUUUAAGGAAUUGAUUUAAUGUAUUGUCAAACCAAGUUCUAACGGAAAAAAGAGCAGGUUCCAUUUUAAUUAGUUGAAUUACAAUGUUUAUCUUGUAUUAAACGGAUCAAACUCUGAAAAUAAGAAA